AUGGACAGAGCAAUUGCACCAAGCUUUAUGGCCUGUGUCCCUGCAUGCUUCCAGUUUCACCAGCUGGAAACCACAGAGGGUUGCGUCUUACAUUUGUCAAGUGCAUGGAGGUCUGUGUUCAAAUGCCACCACAGGAUGUAUGUAAGUCUCUACAGCAAUUGUCCCAGAGGGCAACACCUGGAACUCAGCACUCCCUUCCUCAACAGCCAAGUCACCCUGCAGAUGACAGUGACCCCCCUACCUGUUGUGAGUAGGCCAGAUGAGAAUCUCCAAGGAUAUCCAAGGCAGGUGAGUCUCAUGUGGUUACCAUAG
rnacentral:lncRNA from 1 species